AAGUUGGAUGCAGCAGAGGGCUCUAAGAGAUGCUGUCACCAUCCAGCAGGGACAAGCCCAGCCCUGCUCCCCAGCCUCAGGCCAGGCCUCAACCUUAGACACCAGGAACUGGAGCAUCAACAGUUAGCACCGUGUCUCUGAGAUGACUCUGCUAGGCCUGAGCAGAGAUGGGACCCUCCUCUUCACAUCUGGUCUCCCAGAUGAGAGGUCCCCACGGGAGUCGACGACAGCAUGCCGCCGGCGCGAUUCAGACCACCCAGCUCCAGCGGGAGGAGUCCCCUGUCUCCUUUCUGUUUGCUAUUAACAAGUUUUUGUUGGAUAGCAGCAAGCAAUAUUUCCAGAACAAAUAAAGCUGUGGAGACAUUUGCCUUAGGCAUUUUACAGCUCAACUUGAA